UUUUUAUGGAGAGUUUGAUCCUGGCUCAGGAUGAACGCUGGCGGCGUGCCUAAUACAUGCAAGUCGAGCGAACAGAUAAGGAGCUUGCUCCUUUGACGUUAGCGGCGGACGGGUGAGUAACACGUGGGUAACCUACCUAUAAGACUGGAAUAACUCCGGGAAACCGGGGCUAAUGCCGGAUAACAUUUAGAACCGCAUGGUUCUAAAGUGAAAGA
rnacentral:rRNA from 1 species